rnacentral:tRNA from 1 species
CGCGCCGUAGCUCAACGGAUAGAGCACCGUAAACGCUCUGGUUUAAAACUUCGUCGAUCAUUCUUCACAAGAGACAUAACUGACUGCCGAAUGGGAGUACAUGAAAAUUAACCCGGAGGAUGUGGGUUCGAUUCCCACCAGCGCAA